rnacentral:lncRNA from 1 species
GGGGGGGGGAGGCAGGGAAACGCUGCGGGGCGUCGAACGCCUUUACCGCUCACGUGCGGCGCUGAGAGGCGAGGGCUGGUGUCGUCGCUCGUCUCGUAGGGGCAGCCCUGGCACUGGGGCCGCGGCCAAGCACCAGGGGCCGCGGGGCGCGAAAUGGCGGCCUGGGGGCGGUCUCUGGAGCCGGGGCCGCGGGGCGCGAAAUGGCGGCGCUGGCUAGGCCUCGCGGACCUCGCCUGGGCGCGGAGCCGCAGCGGCGGCAGCUGUGUGAGCCCAGAUGUUUAUCACAGAAGCAAACAGAAAUGGAAGAAGGAAUGCGAACAUCAGAGAUGGAGAAGAUCUGGGUCACUACAAGUCAGGCCUGGCGAGAGCGCAGCAGGAUCCAAGUUAAAGUUCUGUGGUGUUUGCUGUGG